GAUGAAGAACGUAGCGAAAUGCGAUAAGUAAUGUGAAUUGCAGAAUUCAGUGAAUCAUCGAGUCUUUGAACGCACAUUGCGCCCCCUGGUAUUCCGGGGGGCAUGCCUGUCCGAGCGUCAUUGCUGCCCUCAAGCACGGCUUGUGUGUUGGGCCCCGUCCCCUCCCCCGGGGACGGGCCCGAAAGGCAGCGGCGGCACCGCGUCCGAUCCUCGAGCGUAUGGGGCUUUGUCACCCGCUCUGUAGGCCCGGCCGGCGCCAGCCGACACCCAACUUUUAUUUCUAAGGUUGACCUCGUAUCAGGUAGGGAUACCCGCUGAACUUAAGCAUAUCAAUAAGCGGAGGA
rnacentral:misc_RNA from 1 species